rnacentral:lncRNA from 1 species
UUUUUUUCCUUCGAUCAUGCUCUCUGUUUGCUGCGCUGUUCACUCUGCCACAGCUGUUGGCGUUAUCGUAUGACCAUGUUGAUCGAGAGGGCCAAACACCUCAUGCCAUUGUUCAUGACCGAAGACGACCAUUGAGGAGGAGCAUGCCGAGCUUCCGGCCAGAGUUCAUCAACAUUUGUAUCAUGGAAAAGUGCUUGUGUUUCUAAUGUGCUAUGGCUUAUAAGGUGGAGCAAAUCGAGCGACUACUUGUUAGAUUUUGA